GAUGAACGCUGGCGGCGUGCCUAAUACAUGCAAGUCGAGCGAACGGACGAGAAGCUUGCUUUUCUGAUGUUAGCGGCGGACGGGUGAGUAACACGUGGAUAACCUACCUAUAAGACUGGGAUAACUUCGGGAAACCGGAGCUAAUACCGGAUAAUAUUUUGAACCGCAUGGUUCAAAAGUGAAAGACGGUCUUGCUGUCACUUAUAGAUGGAUCCGCGCUGCAUUAGCUAGUUGGUAAGGUAACGGCUUACCAAGGCAACGAUGCAUAGCCGACCUGAGAGAGGGAUCGGCCACACUGGAACUGAGACACGGUCCAGACUCCUACGGGAGGCAGCAGUAGGGAAUCGUCCGCAAUGGGCGAAAGCCUGACGGAGCAACGCCGCGUGAGUGAUGAAGGUCUUCGGAUCGUAAAACUCUGCUAUUAGUGAAGAACAGAUGUGUAAGUAACUGUGCACAGCUUGACGGUACCUAAUCAGAAAGCCACGGCUAACUACGUG
rnacentral:rRNA from 1 species